rnacentral:rRNA from 1 species
UACGUAGGGAGCAAGCGUUGUCCGGAAUUACUGGGUGUAAAGGGAGCGUAGGCGGGAGGAUAAGUUGAAUGUGAAAUCCACAGGCUCAACCUGUGGCUGCGUUCAAAACUGUUCUUCUUGAGUGAAGUAGAGGCAGGCGGAAUUCCUAGUGUAGCGGUGAAAUGCGUAGAUAUUAGGAGGAACACCAGUGGCGAAGGCGGCCUGCUGGGCUUUUACUGACGCUGAGGCUCGAAAGCGUGGGUAGCAAACAGG